rnacentral:RNase_P_RNA from 1 species
UUAGCAGGUCACCUUAUCGAUCUGGCGGUUACCGUCAGAUAGGAAAGUCCGGACACCAUAGUGCAGUAUAGCGGGUAACACCCGUCUCCCGCGAAAGCGGGACGGACAAGUGCAACAGAAAGUAUGUACAGGUAAUGCUGUAGUGAAAUCAGGUAAACUCUAUACGGUGAAACGUCAUGUAAAUCAGUGUUCGAGGGCUGCACGCCCGAGCUGAAGGGUAGGCGGUUAGAGCCUUUGGGUAACCAAAGGUCCAGAUAAAUGAUAAGGGCAUAUUGGACUUUGUCGGGAGUGAUUUUGAUGUAAGUUCAGUAUGAACAGAAUCCGGCUUAUGACCUGCUUUUUUU